UUUCCGUAGGUGAACCUGCGGAAGGAUCAUUAGCGAAUUUUCAGUAGUCCCUGGCUUCGGCCUCGGACUAUUCAACUCUCCUAUUCCUUUACCACACACCUGCGCUAGUGUAGCAAUACACCGGCGCAAGCUCUUUUAUUACUAUAUAACACACCAGUUCAUUGUAUGUUCAAAAAACUAUAAACAAAAUAAAACUUUCAACAACGGAUCUCUUGGUUCUC
rnacentral:misc_RNA from 1 species